rnacentral:rRNA from 1 species
AGAGUUUGAUCCUGGCUCAGAACGAACGUUGGCGGCGUGGAUUAGGCAUGCAAGUCGAACGAAUCCCGGCCCCGCAAGGGGCCGGGGGAAGUGGCGAAAGGGGCAGUAAGGCGUGGGUAACCUACCCCGGGGACCGGCAUAGCCGCCCUAACGGGCGGGUAAUUCCGGGCGAUCUGGGAGCGGGGCAUCCUGAACCCAGGAGAUGAGUUUCGCCUCGGGCGGGGCCCACGUGCUAUCAGCUAGUUGGCGGGGUGACGGCCCACCAAGGCGUUGACGGCUAGCGGGUGUGAGAGCACGACCCGCGCCACUGGCACUGAGACACUGGCCAGACACCUACGGGUGGCUGCAGUCGAGGAUCUUCGGCAAUGGGCGCAAGCCUGACCGAGCGACGCCGCGUGCGCGACGAAGGCCUUCGGGUUGUAAAGCGCUGUCGGGGGGGCGGAAGGCGCAAGCUUGACUGCCCCCCGGAGGAAGCACGGGCUAAGUUCGUGCCAGCAGCCGCGGUAAGACGAACCGUGCGAACGUUGUUCGGAAUCACUGGGCUUAAAGGGCGCGUAGGCGGGUGUGCCAGUCUGUGGUGAAAGCCCCCGGCUCAACCGGGGAACGGCCGCGGAUACUGCACACCUCGAGGGGGGUAGGGGCGCGCGGAACGCCGGGUGGAGCGGUGAAAUGCGUUGAUAUCCGGCGGAACUCCGGUGGCGAAAGCGGCGCGCUGGGCCCCGCCUGACGCUGAGGCGCGAAAGCCAGGGGAGCGAACGGGAUUAGAUACCCCCGUAGUCC